rnacentral:piRNA from 1 species
CCCCUUCUACCAAGCUCCCUCGUGGC